rnacentral:lncRNA from 1 species
ACAGACCUUUUGCUUUUCGUUUUCUUUGUUUUUUUUUUUUUUCCAUCCUCACCGUCUCACUUCACCACUGUGAGAAGACCUCUCCACCCUCAGAGCCCCCAAAGAAGAGAGAGAGAAAGCAGGUGCUGUCUCUCUUGGCCCUCUACCGGGCUUAGUUGGUCUCUUUGGCAGCCUGACUCUGGAUAUGAACUGAGACCCAUCUUUGAACUGGACACGAACUAUAAACCAGUUCUAUUCUGUUCUGUGCUGUUUUGUUUCUUCUUGAUCAAAAGCCAAGAGAAAUGUUUUUGGGAAUGUGGAAGGCCACUCUGGACAUACAAAGCUUCCUCAGGUUCAGUGGCUCCGUCUCCCCCAUCUCUCCCUGUCAGCUAUAGCACUUCGCAGAUCUCUGAUAGUCUGAUCUUUGGGGAUAUUGUUGUGAAUCAUGGGGACACUUAUCUCACAGUGACUCGCCAUACGCCAGCCAUCUUGGGUCAACCUCCUAUGUAUCUUUCCUAUGAUGCUCCUCCGAUUGUCCCACUGGGAAGUCACUUCACUGGCUGAACAUCUGACUGCUGCUGCCCCAGCCACUGAAUCCAGAGAAUGGUGGGGACCCCAUGUCCAGCUGAUAGAUCAUCAUAUCACACAGGCUCUGGAGUCUAGCAGCUUUUCACCAACAGAGAGGCGUUCAUUGCCUUUUUAAGGACGCCGGAGUGGGGGAUCUUCAUUCUGCUUUUAGCAUGUGGCUGCCUACUACUGUUUGCCUUACAUUCUUGCCUGGCUUCUUCUGGAAUCUUCCCUGGUUCUUCCGUACCUUUCCCCCACCCAAUCUUCAGACUAGAAGUGAGGCCAUAAACCAAGAAACUAUGAGGACAUCCAGGCUAUCUAGCUCAUUUGGAAGGAGAUGGACAUUUUCUUUCCCUGUGCAAUUUUUGUGAGUCUUCAGGGUGUUCCAACAUAUAUCCUAGAAGAUGAGGUGCCAAGAACUGCCCAGCCUCUGACUAUAGGGCACUCUACCCUGCUGUGUGUCGCUCAAUCUUUGAACCUUAGAUCUUUCCUUCCACAUGAUUGCAAGUGUCCAGUUCGGAGAAAAAUGCCAACUCCUCCCCCACUCUCCAGGAAUAUCUUGAACUUUUAUUUUGACUCUGAGAUCUAGGACACAACAGAACUCUGUCCACAGCAAUAAUCCACUCAGUACUAUGGGAUGGAUGGGUUAGAAGAUGCGUUACUGAGCCUGAGACUGGUCAGCCAGCCACUGGACAUGCGACCUGCCUCUUGUAGCGGUGCCCUGGACAGGUUGACACUCUGGUGUAUGUUACAAGACAAAGUGCUGCAUGUGGUGAAGUGGUCUGCCUGGGGCUGUGGGAUGUGCUGCUGUUAUGAAUUUGGAGUGAAUGGGGGAUACAGAUGCUGGUUAUCCAUCUGUAGCUCAUUGCAGUGAGCGUGAUGACAGGGGGCACGGGGAUUAUCUGUGUAGCAUAGGCAUGUGACCUUUGACUAAGCUCUUACCCCUGCACUGUAAUGUGCUGAAAUGUCUUUGUAGACCUGAAGGUGCACUUAACUAAACUGCCUACUAAGGAAUGACUCUCAUCUGGUCCACUUCACACUCCCUUCCCCAGGUGUUUGCCCUUUCACCCCCUUCUUAGGUAUUGAGCCUUGAUAGCUCAAGCCCCAAUGCUAAGACCCGUUUUCUCUGUAAGGAGAAGACUUAUGAUAUACUGAUAGCCAUAGCCCAUCUCUUCCAACAUGUAGGGCCCUAGUUCCAUAGGGUGCCCUUGGAAGGAUCAGGUCAUCCUGUGGCUAUUAGCCAUCCCAGAAUCUCUGAAGUGCUUAACUCACUUCAAGUGAUCUGAAUCAGAGAGACCAAAGAUAUUAAUUUUCUCUGUCCUCAGAUUUCUAGAAGACAGACUAUGGCCAGGAAAGGCUUUAUUUUGGUUUGGGCUUUCUCUCUCUCCUUUCUCCAUCUGUACACAUCCCCUACCUCACUCCCCACUUGAGACCUAAAUUUUGAAGCUCAAUGACCCUGUUCACUGGGAGUGUGUUUGUGGGUUAGUCCAGAAUAUCAGGUCCAACAAUUUCCCCCACACUGUAGUCAAUGGACAGUCAUUUUCUCUAACACAAAACUGUGUGGUGGAUUUAGAUUCCACUGAGGUGGAACUGGGGUUGCCACAGCCUUGAUCUUCUUGAGACUAGACAGAACAAGAGUGGUGGCUGAGAAAUACAUUUUCCUAAGUAGAAAUGAGGUACAACCCAUAAAGGACUUUCUUCACAGUGAGCGUAGCAGUUACGACUUUUUCAAAUUAGAGUCUAAAGGAAUCAGUAAAGAAGU